rnacentral:rRNA from 1 species
UACGGAGGGUGUGAGCGUUGUCCGGAAUCACUGGGCGUAAAGGGUGCGUAGGCGGCGCGGUAAGUCGGGUGUGAAAUCUUGGAGCUUAACUCCGAAACUGCAUUCGAUACUGCCGUGCUUGAGGACUGGAGAGGAGACUGGAAUUUACGGUGUAGCGGUGAAAUGCGUAGAUAUCGUAAGGAAGACCAGUGGCGAAGGCGGGUCUCUGGACAGUUCCUGACGCUGAGGCACGAAGGCCAGGGGAGCAAACGGG